CUUUUGAUGGCGACCGGCGCACGGGUGAGUAACACGUAUCCAACCUGCCUCAUACUCGGGGAUAGCCUUUCGAAAGAAAGAUUAAUACCCGAUGUUAUAGUCCUACCGCAUGAUGGGACUAUUAAAGAAUUUCGGUAUGGGAUGGGGAUGCGUUCCAUUAGUUAGUUGGCGGGGUAACGGCCCACCAAGACAACGAUGGAUAGGGGUUCUGAGAGGAAGGUCCCCCACAUUGGAACUGAGACACGGUCCAAACUCCUACGGGAGGCAGCAG
rnacentral:rRNA from 1 species